UGGAUAUAGGUCUUCGUAUUAAAUAAAGAAGUUGAUCAAUAUUAGGUAGGGGAAAAAAUAGACUAAAUAUACUUGCAAAAAAUAUUAGAUAAAUAAAUUAUUACAUGAGAAAUGGACAUAGAUCUUUGUAUUUGGUAGGAGAAAAAAUAGAGCAAAUGUGUUUAUAAUAUUUAGUCCUUGCAAAAAAUAUUAGAUAAAUGAAUUAUUAUGUGAGGAACGGACAAACGUCUUCGUAUUAGAUAAAUAACUUGAUCAAUAUUAGGUAGGAAAAAAUAGAGUAAAUGUGUUUAUAAUAUUCAGUCUUUGCAAAGAACAUUAGAUAAAUAAAUUAUUAUGUGAGAAAUGGACAUAGAUCUUCGUAUUACAUAAAGAACUUGAUCAAUAUUCAUAAUCUA
rnacentral:lncRNA from 1 species